GCAAAGGCCCAGAAAUGUCUUAGUGUAAACCAAAUCAAGGAAAUGGUAGGGGGUAUGGACCAGUCUCUAGCCAGGUUUCAGCUAGGACCUACAAAGUGAAAAGGACACCUCCUAUAAUAUUUAGCUAGACGGUUCAGAAUUUAUACCUUGUCUCGUCUUUGCUGUUCUGUCUUUAACAUAAUGCUGGCUUGUGCUGUUCCAGUGCUUACAGUGAAACUGAAUGUCAAGUGAAGCCAUCUGAAAAUAAAAAGGGACCA
rnacentral:lncRNA from 1 species